AUUGAACGCUGGCGGCAGGCCUAACACAUGCAAGUCGAGCGGAUGAAGGGAGCUUGCUCCUGGAUUCAGCGGCGGACGGGUGAGUAAUGCCUAGGAAUCUGCCUGGUAGUGUGGGAUAACGUCCGGAAACGGGCGCUAAUACCGCAUACGUCCUGAGGGAGAAAGUGGGGGAUCUUCGGACCUCACGCUAUCAGAUGAGCCUAGGUCGGAUUAGCUAGUUGGUGGGGUAAAGGCCUACCAAGGCGACGAUCCGUAACUGGUCUGAGAGGAUGAUCAGUCACACUGGAACUGAGACACGGUCCAGACUCCUACGGGAGGCAGCAGUGGGGAAUAUUGGACAAUGGGCGCAAGCCUGAUCCAGCCAUGCCGCGUGGGUGAAGAAGGUCUUCGGAUUGUAAAGCACUUUUAGUUGGGAGGAAGGGCAGUAAGUUAAUACCUUGCUGUUUUGACGUUACCAACAGAAUAAGCACCGGCUAACUUCGUG
rnacentral:rRNA from 1 species